rnacentral:tRNA from 1 species
GUCUUUGUAGUAUAACAAAAUACCCCGACCUUGUAAAUCGGAAAAGGAGAAAACCAUAUCUCCCUAAGACU